rnacentral:rRNA from 1 species
GACCUGGCUCAGGAUGAACGCUGACAGAAUGCUUAACACAUGCAAGUCUACUUGAUCCUUCGGGUGAUGGUGGCGGACGGGUGAGUAACGCGUAAAGAACUUGCCCUGCAGUCUGGGACAACAUUUGGAAACGAAUGCUAAUACCGGAUAUUAUGUGAGUUUCGCAUGAAAUUCAUAUGAAAGCUAUAUGCGCUGCAGGAGAGCUUUGCGUCCUAUUAG